rnacentral:rRNA from 1 species
AACGAACGCUGGCGGCGCGCCUAAUACAUGCAAGUCGAACGAGAAGCUGUAGCAAUACAGUUGUACAGUGGCGAACGGGUGAGGAAUACAUGGGUGGACCUACCCUCGAGUGGGGAAUAACCAGCCGAAAGGUUGGCUAAUACCGCGUACGCUUCCCAGUCUACGGGUUGGGAAGGAAAGCGAUGCCGUGGGUAUCGCGCUCAAGGUUGGGCUCAUGUCCUAUCAGCUUGNGGUUGGGGGUAACGGGCUCACCAAGGCAACGACGGGUAGCUGGUCUGAGAGGACGAUCAGCCACACUGGCACUGCGACACGGGCCAGACUCCUACGGGAGGCAGCAGUAAGGAAUAUUGCGCAAUGGGCGAAAG